UUCGGAUGACCUGUGGGUAGGGGUGAAAGGCCAAUCAAACUCGGAAAUAGCUCGUACUCCCCGAAAUGCAUUUAGGUGCAGCGCUGAAUUUAAGUUAUAUAGAGGUAGAGCUACUGAUUGGAUGCGGGGGCUUCACCGCCUACCAAUUCCUGACAAACUCCGAAUGCUAUAUAAUGUUUCUCAGCAGUGAGGGCUUGGGUGCUAAGGUCCAAGUCCGAGAGGGAAAGAACCCAGACCAUCAGCUAAGGUCCCCAAAUAUACGCUAAGUUGAAAGAACGAGGUUUGUCUGCCCAGACAGCUAGGAUGUUGGCUUGGAAGCAGCCAUUCAUUUAAAGAGUGCGUAACAGCUCACUAGUCGAGCGGACGAGCAUGGAUAAUAAUCGGGCAUAAGCGUAUUACCGAAGCUAUGGAUUUACAAGCAAUUGUAAGUGGUAGGGGAGCAUUCCAGCAGGGUUGAAGGUGUAUCGUAAGGUAUGCUGGACUGGCUGGAAAAGAAAAUGUAGGCAUAAGUAACGAUAAUGCGGGCGAGAAACCCGCACACCGAAAAACUAAGGUUUCCACAGCUAUGCUAAUCAGCUGUGGGUUAGUCUGGUCCUAAGGCGAACCCGAAAGGGACAGUCGAUGGCUAACGGGUUAAUAUUCCCGUACUACUAAUUACUGUGAUGGGGUGACGGAGUGAUGAAAGCGCCGCGAACUGACGGAAUAGUUCGUUGAAGUACCUACCUAUAAGAUCUGCAGGCAAAUCCACAGAUCUUGGGGAAAUACGAUAGUACUCGGAGUCUUCGGACAAAGAGAUAGUGCGCCUAAGGGCUUCCAAGAAAAACCUCUAAACUUCAGGUAAUUAGUACCAGUACCGUAAACCGACACAGGUAGUUGAGGAGAGAAUCCUAAGGUGCUCGAGAGAUUCAUGGCUAAGGAAUUAGGCAAAAUAGACCCGUAACUUCGGGAGAAGGGUCGCCCUGUAGCAAUACAGGGCCGCAGUGAAGAGGUCCAGGCGACUGUUUAUCAAAAACACAGGGCUCUGCAAAAUCGUAAGAUGAAGUAUAGGGCCUGACACCUGCCCGGUGCUGGAAGGUUAAGAGGAGAUGUUAUCUUCGGAGAAGCAUUGAAUUGAAGCCCCAGUAAACGGCGGCCGUAACUAUAACGGUCCUAAGGUAGCGAAAUUCCUUGUCGGGUAAGUUCCGACCUGCACGAAUGGUGUAACGAUCUGGACACUGUCUCAGCCAUGAGCUCGGUGAAAUUGUAGUAACGGUGAAGAUGCCGUUUACCCGCAGUGGGACGAAAAGACCCUGUGCACCUUUACUAUAGCUUAGUAUUGACCUUGGAUAAAUGAUGUGUAGGAUAGGUUGGAGACUGUGAAGUGGCGUCGCCAGGCGUUGUGGAGUCAUUGUUGAAAUACAACCCUUUGUUUAUCUGAGGCCUAACCCCGUUUUGCGGGGGACAUUGCUUGGUGGGUAGUUUGACUGGGGUGGUCGCCUCCAAAAGAGUAACGGAGGCUUCUAAAGGUUCCCUCAGUACGCUUGGUAACCGUGCGUAGAGUGCAAUGGCAUAAGGGAGCUUGACUGAGAGACAUACAGGUCGAUCAGGUACGAAAGUAGAGCAUAGUGAUCCGGUGGUUCCGCAUGGAAGGGCCAUCGCUCAAAGGAUAAAAGGUACGCCGGGGAUAACAGGCUGAUCUCCCCCAAGAGCUCAUAUCGACGGGGGGGUUUGGCACCUCGAUGUCGGCUCGUCACAUCCUGGGGCUGGAGAAGGUCCCAAGGGUUGGGCUGUUCGCCCAUUAAAGUGGCACGCGAGCUGGGUUCAGAACGUCGUGAGACAGUUCGGUCUCUAUCUACUGUGGGCGUUAGAAAUUUGAGUGGAUCUGAUUCUAGUACGAGAGGACCGAAUUGGACAAACCUCUAGUGUAUCUGUUGUCCCGCCAGGGGCACCGCAGAGUAGCUACGUUUGGAAGGGAUAAGCGCUGAAAGCAUAUAAGCGCGAAACCCACCACAAGAUGAGAUUUCUUUUAAGGAUCGUGGAAGAUGACCACGUUGAUAGGCUAUAGAUGUAAAGGCAGUAAUGUCAUAGUCGAGUAGUACUAAUAAUCCGUAAGCUUAUGUAC
rnacentral:rRNA from 1 species